CAUCUCCCUAACAGCUGUAAAAUAGCCCAAGGAACAGCUGGCAUUGCCUGGGAAUGUUGGCACGUUGGGUUUGCAGAGGAGCUCAGACAGCAAUUCCUGGUGCCCAGCUCCUGGAGCUCCCACACACCCACCAGUGAGAAGAACAUGAACUCACAACCAUUAAGGCCUGGCAGUCCCCUGCAGUGAGAGCUCAGCACACAUCCAGAGGCAAUUCCAGCAUCUGAAAGGAAGAAAGGAAGAAGAAAAAGGCACCUUUGCAAUCAAACUCUGAAGCUGACAAGCCCAAAAGCUCUGGAGUCUGUCUGCUCUGGAACAAAAGGAUACUCCCAGGGAUGAGGCACAUUCCCAGCAAACGCUCCCAACACGGCACAGGGGCACCACUGGAGCUCGUGUUGGGGCUGGGAAGGGCUGCCAGGAGGACACAGCCCCCAGCUGGGGUGGCAGUGGCAGUGGCAGCAGCAAAUUCCCACAGCCUGAUGGCACAGCAGAGGGACAAAGGCCAGCAAUGGCCACGGGAGCUGCAGGUUUCAUUCUGCUCCCUGCGCUGCCACAUCCCGGCAGGAAAUCUCCAGGGGGGACAGAAACUCCCUGGGUGCACAAAGUGCAGCAUCUGUGCCCCUGAUCCUGCUGAAACUCAGAGUGUGGGGCCGACCCCCCAAGGUAAACACUGCCCUGCCUGCAUCAGCCUCAGCCACUGCCCCAGUUCUCAGCUCCCACUGCUCCGGGGCUGCCCCACAUUCCUGACCAGGAGCCAAAGGCCCCUUUGGACAGGGCUCUCUCUGUGUCUCAGGCCUUGGGGACUGCAGGGACCAGGGCAAGGACAGCCUGAAACCAGGGCAGAGCCCUCUGGGGACAACUGGG